rnacentral:lncRNA from 10 species
AAAAUUAGAUUCAAGAAAACAUCCCUAUAAAUUUUGGUCUGUGAUAGUGCCAUACACAGUAAUGUUAUCAGAACAUCUGUCAUUGGUCAAGGCUGAGGAGGAAGCUCUGUUUUGAUCAGCAUCUUGGACCACCAGUGAUGAAGACUUUCACUCACUGAAGUCCACAUUCUUUCUGCUGGGGGAAAAUCCAGGUAGCUACAGGCCUCUGUCUGGCAGGGGUGUGCAACGGUGAGUGGUGAGGCAGCAUCCUGACCCAGAGACCAGUUGGUUGCCCUGCACUCUGACAGGGAGGUGGGACCCUGGCCACAUGAAUCGCCUGCCAUGACCCCAGGCCCCCUUCACUGUAUCCCCUGCUGUGUGCUUCCUCUCUGCCUGCUCGCCUGUGCCAGCCCCACUUGGCUUGUGCUCCUGAGACCUCUUCUUCUCUCCUUCAUGCUUUCAACUUGCAGGAAGCUUCCUGCCCGCUCAGUGGUCACCGUAAGAUUGGUUCCCAGAGAGUCAGCCCUUUGGUGGCAAACAGAGGGGCUGGAGGAGGGGAGGGUCUGCUCCCUGCAUUCAGGGCUGCCUCUGCCUGGGACCCACGCUCCUGGGGUCCUGGACUUGCCCUUCACCUCUCCUCUCAUUCUCGCCCCUGGUGGCCCCUCAGCUGCUCCCUGGGUUUUACCCUUGGUACCUGAUAUAGUUCGGCUAUUUCCCCACCCAAAUCUCAUCUUGAAUUCCGACGUGUUGUAAGAGGGACCUGGUGGGAGGCAAUUGAAUUACGAGGGCAGGUCUUUCCCAUGCUGUUCUCUUGAUAGUGAAUAAGUCUCAUGAGAUCUUACAGUAUUGUAAGGGGGAAUUUCCUUGCCCAAUUUCUCCCUCUUUGCCUGCUGCCAUCCACGGAAGACGUGACUUGCUCCACCUUGCCUUCUGCCAUGAUUGUGAGGCUUCCCUUGCCACGUGGAACUGUAAGUCCAAUUAAAACUCUUUCUUUUGUAAACUGCCCAGUCUCGGGUAUGAGUUUAUCAGCAGCGUGAAAACGGACUAAUACAGUACC